rnacentral:rRNA from 1 species
AUUGAACGCUGGUGGCAUGCCUUACACAUGCAAGUCGAACGGCAGCACGGGAGCAAUCCUGGUGGCGAGUGGCGAACGGGUGAGUAAAGUAUCGGAACGUGCCCAGUCGUGGGGGAUAACGUAGCGAAAGUUACGCUAAUACCGCAUACGAUCUAUGGAUGAAAGCUGGGGAUCGCAAGACCACGCGCGAUUGGAGCGGCCGAUAUCAGAUUAGGUAGUUGGUGGGGUAAAGGCUCACCAAGCCGACGAUCUGUAGCUGGUCUGAGAGGACGACCAGCCACACUGGGACUGAGACACGGCCCAGACUCCUACGGGAGGCAGCAGUGGGGAAUUUUGGACAAUGGGCGAAAGCCUGAUCCAGCCAUGCCGCGUGCAGGAUGAAGGCCUUCGGGUUGUAAACUGCUUUUGUACGGAACGAAAAGGUUUGGCCUAAUAAGCUGAGCUCAUGACGGUACCGUAAGAAUAAGCACCGGCUAACUACGUGCCAGCCGCCGCCGUAA